rnacentral:lncRNA from 1 species
UGUAUAUUUCAUCUGCUUGUGAAGUUUGGAAUGAACUUAAAUGAGGUACAUCCAAAGCACUGGCCCUAGAGUAGACCACUUGGAAAAAUCUCUCAGUUCCAUUUUUCAAGAUUCACAGACAUGUUAGAAUUGUCUGAAUGCAUCUCAAUUGAAAGUUUCUUCUCAUUAAAUAGGAACUUUGUCCCUCAUUACCAUCCCAAAUUACAGCCCGAGUAUUCAAUCAAAUCUCCUAAUUGCCUCACUUUUCUAGUUACAGCAUAAUCAUAUUUCUUAUAAAAGGAAAUAAAGCCUACUUUAUAUCUACAACAUAAUUAUGUACAUAACACAUGUGAUAUGCUGACAUCCCCCCUCAAAUUGAUGCUGGUCGAUCAAAAAGUAUCAAUUUGUCAACCAUAAACUGACGUCGAUGACGUCCAAGAGCCUUGGUAAAUAUAUUAGUUGUUUGGAGAUCUGUAGAAACACGAGGAAUUGUAAUCACUUGUUGGUCAAAUGCUUCUCGUAUGGAUUGACAAUUGACCUCAAUAUGCUUGGUUUGCUCAUGCAAUACCGGAUUAACAACAAUCUGAAAGCGCUUGUGUUGUCAGCAUGAAGUGAGGUAGGGCUAAGCUAAUGAAGGCCAAGUUUACCAAGUAAGCCCCGAAGCCAUACAAUCUCAGAGCAAGCGAAGGACAUAGCUCGAUAUUCAGACUUAGUGGAAGACUUUGAGAUAAGUGCAUUUCCAAGAACAUGCACCAACCAGUAAUCGAUCGUCGAGUAUCCGUGCAACCAGCCCAAUCAGCUGUAGAGAAGUCCUAAUAGGAAAGAAUAAACCUCGACCAGAUGUACCCUUUAGAUAAUGAAUGAUACGUCACACAGCGACCAGAUGAGAAUGUCUAGGAGCUUGCAUAAACUGGCUAACUUGCUGGACUGCAAAAGAGAUAUCAGGUCUUGUUAUCGUCAAAUAGUUUAAACUUUCUACCAACUAUUGAUAUAGCAAAGGAUCGGCUAAAAGUUCUCCUUCUGCUUGGCGAAGCUUCAGAUUGACCUCCAUAGGUGUGAGAACCUAGUUUCUGGACCCAAGACCAGCAGAAGUAAUUAUAUCUUGAGUAUAUUUGUGUUGAUGUAAUAGUGUCCCCUUAGAAGUGGAAUGCACUUCAAGGCCAAAAAAAUGCUGUAACAGACCAAGAUCUUUCAUGUGAAAGGAAGUUCGAAGAUGUUGCUGCAUUUCCUCGAUUAAUUGUGAAUUAGAACCUCUAAUGACAAUAGCAUCCACAUACACUAGGAGAACCACA